rnacentral:rRNA from 1 species
AUUGAACGCUGGCGGCAGGCCUAACACAUGCAAGUCGAACGAGUGGCGGACGGAUGAGUAAUGUCUGGGAAACGGCCUGGUGGAGAAGGAUAAGUACUGGGAACGGUAGCUAAUACCGCAUACCAUCAGAUGUGCCCAAUGGGGAUGAGGUUGUUGGAGGGGUAACGGCUCACCAAGGAGACGAUCCGUACCUGGGUUGAGAGGAUGAACAGCCACACUGGAACUGAGACACGGUCCAGACUCCGACGGGAGGCAGCAGUGGGGAAUAUUGGACAAUGGGCGCAAGCCUGAUGCAGCCAUGCCGCGUGUAUGAAGAAGGCCUUCGGGUUGUAAAGUACUUUCAGCGGGGAGGCGUUACCCGCAGAAUAAGCACCGGCUAACUUCGUGCCAGCAGCCGCGGUAAUUC